CAUGGUUAAAAAUACUUUUGUAACAUCGACAUGUUAUGCUCAAAUCAGUUUGGGACUUAAAUCGUUCGUUUUUUUCUUUUUCCUUUCAUUUCCUUUGUGAGCAUGAAACCUUCAUCUACAAAAUUCAUAUUAUCCUGCUUGCAAAUCAAUGUUGUAUUUUUAAAAACGUUAUAUUAUAAAACGUCACAAUAUUCGAACGUCAAGCCAAACCAUCGCACUUCAGCGAAAGGACAAUCG
rnacentral:lncRNA from 1 species